rnacentral:rRNA from 1 species
CGUGAGCAACCUACCCAUAUCAGGGGGAUAGCCCGGUGAAAAUCGGAUUAACACCGCAUGACACAGCGACUCGGCAUCGAGAUGUUGUUAAAUAUUUAUAGGAUAUGGAUGGGCUCGCGUGACAUUAGCUAGUUGGUAAGGUAACGGCUUACCAAGGCAACGAUGUCUAGGGSCUCUGAGAGGAGAAUCCCCCACACUGGUACUGAGACMCGGACCAGACUCCUACGGGAGGCAGCAGUAAGGAAUAUUGSWCAAKGGAGGGAACUCUGAWCCAGCCAUGCCGCGUGCAGGAUGACUGCCUUAUGGGUUGUAAACUKCUUUUGUCCAGGAAUAAACASCUSUACGUGUAGAGGMKUGAAKGUACYGGMAGAAUAAGSAYCGGCUAACUCCGUGCCAGCAGCCGCGGUAAUACGGAGGAUCCGAGCGUUAUCCGGAWUUAYUGGGUUUAAAGGGYKCGUAGGCGGCUUAUUAAGUCAGGGGUGAAAGACGGCAGCUUAACU